rnacentral:rRNA from 1 species
GAUGAACGCUAGCUACAGGCUUAACACAUGCAAGUCGAGGGGUAGCAGGGUAGCAAUACCGCUGACGACCGGCGCACGGGUGAGUAACACGUAUCCAACCUUCCCAUAACUCGGGGAUAGCCUUUCGAAAGAAAGAUUAAUACCCGAUAGUACUUAUAUAGGGCAUCCUACAUAAGUUAAAGAUUUAUUGGUUAUGGAUGGGGAUGCGUUCCAUUAGAUAGUUGGUGAGGUAACGGCUCACCAAGUCUUCGAUGGAUAGGGGUUCUGAGAGGAAGGUCCCCCACAUUGGAACUGAGACACGGACCAAACUCCUACGGGAGGCAGCAGUGAGGAAUAUUGGUCAAUGGGCGAGAGCCUGAACCAGCCAAGUAGCGUGAAGGAUGAAGGUCCUAUGGAUUGUAAACUUCUUUUAUAGUAGAAUAAAGUGAUCCACGUGUGGAUUUUUGUAUGUAUACUAUGAAUAAGGAUCGGCUAACUCCGUGCCAGCCGCCGCCGUAAAAC